GGGCGCGCCCCCAGCGCAUGUCCUCCUCCUCCUGGCCUCCCAGCUCCUGCUGCUCCUUUGGCGACUCGGGCUCUACGAAUAUCUUAGAAGAACACCGUUUGACCAGAGGACCAGGCUCCCUUUCUGGCUUCGGCUCUCAGUCCCUCUGUAUCUCGCUCAAGCAAAUCAAUUACGUUCAUCCUCCAUCUCCCAGCCUCAGUUUCCUCGCCUGUGACACGGCAGAGAUGGACCAGGAAGACCUUCCUGGACACAUCAGCGCACACUACAUUUUUUGUGACUCUGGGGAUAGGGCCGGGAGGAUUCAGGGCUGGGCUCCAGCUGCUAAGACGGCAGCGGGAAGACAGCCUGACCCGAGAGCCAGCCUUCUUAUCUGCGCCAGAGACCUCACGGUGUCCUGCCACGACCCGUACCCCCAUGGCCUCCAUCCGGGACUGCUGCACAGCUCUGUUCUGAGUCCCCGCCCUGCGAAGGAGGGACUCUCAAGAGCCUUCUCCAGCACCACAGUUUGAAAGCAUCAGUUCUUCAGUGCUCAGCCUUCAUGGUCCAACUCUCACAUCCAUACAUGACUACUGGAAAAGCCAUAGCCUGGACUAGAUGGAGAUAACAGAGGCACUGCCUCCC
ensembl:lncRNA